rnacentral:rRNA from 1 species
CCUACGGGCGGCAGCAGUGGGGAAUAUUGCGCAAUGGGCGAAAGCCUGACGCAGCGACGCCGCGUGAGGGAUGACGGUCUUCGGAUUGUAAACCUCCGUAAAAAGGGAAGAACGGUCACUGUGCUAAUCAGCAGUGAAUUGACGGUACCUGCAAAGGAAGCACCGGCUAACUCCGUGCCAGCAGCCGCGGUAAGACGGAGGGUGCGAGCGUGAAUCGGAUGUACUGGGUGUAAAGGGCUCGUAGGUGGUAUGUCAAGUCAAGGGUGAAAGCCCCGCGCUCAACGUGGGAACUGCCUGUGAAACUGGCAGACUGGAGUGUAGGAGAGGUGAGUGGAAUUCGAGGUGUAGGAGUGAAAUCCGUAGAUAUCUGGAGGAACAUCGAUGGCGAAGGCGACUAACUGGCACAUAACUGACGCUGAGGAGCGAAAGCGUGGGUAGCAAACAGGAUUAGAUACCCGAGUAGUC